UAGGGAAUCUUCGGCAAUGGGGGCAACCCUGACCGAGCAACGCCGCGUGAGUGAAGAAGGUUCUCGGAUCGUAAAGCUCUGUUGUAAGAGAAGAACGUGUGUGAGAGUGGAAAAUUCACACAGUGACGGUAACUUACCAGAAAGGGACGGCUAACUACGUGCCAG
rnacentral:rRNA from 1 species